ACAAAAUAGCGAAUCUGGAGAAGAAGAAAAUGAAGAAGAACAAGAAGAAGAAGAAGAGG
rnacentral:sRNA from 1 species